ensembl:lncRNA
AUUAACAGACUGCUGUGCCUACUAAGCACUAUAAAUUGUUAUAUCUUAAUAAGUCUUGUAUAUAUAAUAUAAUGUAUAAAUACAAUAUAUGAUAUUUAUAUAAAUAUAUAAUACGAGGAAUGAUGCUAAGGCUGAAACUCCAGUACUUUGGCCACCUCAUGUGAAGAGUUGACUCAUUGGAAAAGACUCUGAUGCUGGGAGGGAUUGGGGGCAGGAGGAGAAGGGGACGACAGAGGAUGAGAUGGCUGGAUGGCAUAACUGACUCGAUGGACAUGAGUCUGAGUGAACUCCGGGAGUUGGUGAUGGACAGGGAGGCCUGGCGUGCUGCGAUUCAUGGGGUCACAGAGAGUCGGACACGACUGAGCGACUGAACUGAACUGAUAAUACAAAAUAUUAUAUUUCUUAUGCUUUAAUAAAUCAUAUGUUUAUUAAUAUUUAAUAAUAUAUCUUAAUAAAUCAUAUAAUUAUCUGUGAGCGGCACAAUUAUAAUUUUUUGUAUUUGGAAGUAUUCAUUUGCUAGACCUUGAAAAAGAUGCCUCAAUAUUUGUGAUCUUGUUGUCUCUUCAUUUUGAAAUAUACCAAGAACAUUAAAAAAAAUAAAAAUCAGUGAUCCAAAAUCCUCUUUACCCCUGCUUGGAGCAGAGAUGAAGAUGUCCUCAUCUUAGCACAAGGAGCUGGGAGCGUGGGGAACACACUGAGUUACAGACGGUCACUUCAGUCCAGAUGCGAGAGCACUCUGAUGAGCUAACUAGUCUGCUCCAAACAGGGGCGGACUCAGAGCUUGGGGAGGUGGGUAGGGGAGGAGUCUUCACAGAGGAGGCGACAAAGCUGGCUCGCAGAGACCGUAGGAGUCUUGGAGGUGGAGAACGAGGGGAGGGAAAGCAUUCCAGUCUUCCAGAACAGCAUGUGCGCAGUCAGGGAGGCGUGAAAGGACAGAGCGUGUUUCAGAAUGCUUGGCACUGGGAGAUAGGACACUGCCCGUCAGUGACUGCAAGGCUGCCGUGAGGAUUACACGUGAGAACGGCUGCAAAGCGCAGGGGCCCAGAGGAGGGCCCUGGCACCCAGUGGCCACGAUGGUCAUGGGAGAGGCAAACGCAGCACAGACGCUGUCUCAGGUGAAACCGUGCUUCAGAGUGACUCAGAGUAUGCGUGGGGCCCCGAGCUCAAGGCCAGAUUCUGUCUCCUACAAGCAGAUCACUCUCUGAACCUGGAUUUCUCGGUCUGUAAAACCAGUAUAAUAAUACAGUACAUAGAGACAUAAAGUAGAACAGGGCUUGCCAGGGACUUAGGGAAGGAGGAAAUGGGGAAUUGUUUAAUAGGUACAGAAGUUUAGUUUUGCGAAACGAAAAGUUGUGGAGAUCGGCUGAGCAACAGUGUGGAUGUUCUUGGCAUUGCUGGACUGUAUGCACACUUAAGAAUGGUGAAGAUGGCUAAGUUUUUGUUACGUGUAUUUCCCCGCAAUUUUAAUUUUGUUGUUUUUGCGCACAACUUCAUUUAAAACCCACCAGUUCUCAACCCACAAGUUUUAAACAAAACAGUAUAAUAAUAGUAACCUAGUUCAGGGGGGUCUGAGGGUUAGUUGAGACAAUAUAAAGUACCG